GUCGGGAUAGCUCAGUUGGUAGAGCAGAGA
rnacentral:tRNA from 1 species